rnacentral:misc_RNA from 1 species
AAGUCGUAACAAGGUUUCCGUAGGUGAACCUGCGGAAGGAUCAUUAUUUUAAAAUUAUUAAUGUUUUGUGAAUUUUGUGAUUGGAGGAGAAAGGAGGAAGAAGGGAGUGUUUAACAUAAACACACACUUCCCUUUUUAAUAUUCCACACAAUAAUGAAAAUUAUAUAGUCUAUUUUUAAAAAAUUUUUAAAAUAACUUUUAACAAUGGAUCUCUUGGCUCUU